rnacentral:rRNA from 1 species
GUAACAAUUAUACUGUGAAACUGCGAAUGGCUCAUUAAAUCAGUUAUCGUUUAUUUGAUAGUACCUUACUACUUGGAUAACCGUGGUAAUUCUAGAGCUAAUACAUGCUAAAAACCUCGACUUCGGAAGGGGUGUAUUUAUUAGAUAAAAAACCAAUGCCCUUUGGGGCUCCUUGGUGAUUCAUAAUAACUUAACGAAUCGCAUAGCCUUGUGCUGGCGAUGGUUCAUUCAAAUUUCUGCCCUAUCAACUUUCGAUGAUAAGGUAGUGGCUUAUCAUGGUGUCAACGGGUAACGGGGAAUUAGGGUUCUAUUCCGGAGAGGGAGCCUGAGAAACGGCUACCACAUCCAAGGAAGGCAGCAGGCGCGCAAAUUACCCAAUCCCGACUCGGGGAGGUAGUGACAAUAAAUACUGAUACAGGGCUCUUUUGGGUCUUGUAAUUGGAAUGAGUACAAUUUAAAUCCCUUAACGAGGAACAAUUGGAGGGCAAGUCUGGGCCCAGCAGCCACGGUAAUUCCAGCUCCAAUAGCGUAUAUUAAAGUUGUUGCAGUUAAAAAGCUCGUAGUUGAACCUUGGGCCUGGCUGGCCGGUCCGCCUCACCGCGUGCACUGGUCCGGCCGGGUCUUUCCUUCUGGGGAGCCGCAUGCCCUUCACUGGGUGUGUCGGGGAACCAGGACUUUUACUUUGAAAAAAUUAGAGUGUUCAAAGCAGGCCUAUGCUCGAAUACAUUAGCAUGGAAUGAUAAAACAGGACGUUGCAGUUCUAUUUUGUUGGUUUCUAGAACCGCCGUAAUGAUUAAUAGGGAUAGUUGGGGGCAUCAAGUAAGUUCCUUUCCCUCUAAUUUUACUUUUAUAAGAAAAGUAUAUACUAACUAUAUAAUAGUAUUCAAUUGUCAGAGGUGAAAUUCUUGGAUUUAUUGAAGAUUAACUACUGCGAAAGCAUUUGCCAAAGAUGUUUUCAUUAAUCAGUGAACGAAAGUUAGGGGAUCGAAGACGAUUGUGGUUUCUGGUCGUCAACAAUUAAAAGUUAAGCAAACUUUUUAUUACGCUAGACACCUGCGAGGUAUAGCGAACACCAUCAAAUUGCAGGAACACCCUAAAGACGUCUACUACGACACACUGGCUCGAAAGAGUAGUGCUCAAAACAGUUAAUCGUUUGAGGCGUAAAAAUGUAGCGUAUGAUGUUCUUCGGAGCAGAAAUGGGUAACCCGCAGCCAAGCCCUAAAAUAUAUCUGUCGAUAUAUCAAGGGUGCUGUCCACAGACUAAACGUUGGUGGGAGGUUAAUAGUAACCUUCUAAGAUAUAGUCGAGGCCUGGGUCCAAAGCCCGGGAAGUACCGCAGAUACCGUCGUAGUCUUAACCAUAAACUAUGCCGACUAGGGAUCGGGCGAUGUUAUUUUUUUGACUCGCUCGGCACCUUACGAGAAAUCAAAGUCUUUGGGUU